rnacentral:rRNA from 1 species
AGCGAACGCUGGCGGCAGGCUUAACACAUGCAAGUCGAGCGCCCCGCAAGGGGAGCGGCAGACGGGUGAGUAACGCGUGGGGACGUACCCUUUGCUACGGAAUAGCUCCGGGAAACUGGAAUUAAUACCGUAUGUGCCCUACGGGGGAAAGAUUUAUCGGCAAAGGAUCGGCCCGCGUUGGAUUAGCUAGUUGGUGGGGUAAUGGCCUACCAAGGCGACGAUCCAUAGCUGGUCUGAGAGGAUGAUCAGCCACACUGGGACUGAGACACGGCCCAGACUCCUACGGGAGGCAGCAGUGGGGAAUCUUAGACAAUGGGCGCAAGCCUGAUCCAGCCAUGCCGCGUGAGUGAUGAAGGUCUUAGGAUUGUAAAGCUCUUUCACCGGUGAAGAUAAUGACGGUAACCGGAGAAGAAGCCCCGGCUAACUUCGUGCCAGCCGCCGCGGUAAAAC